rnacentral:rRNA from 1 species
GCGACGCCGCGUGAGGGACGAAGGCCUUCGGGUUGUAAACCUCUUUCAGCAGGGAAGAAGCGAAAGUGACGGUACCUGCAGAAGAAGCGCCGGCUAACUACGUGCCAGCAGCCGCGGUAAUACGUAGGGCGCAAGCGUUAUCCGGAAUUAUUGGGCGUAAAGAGCUCGUAGGCGGUUUGUCGCGUCUGCUGUGAAAGCCCGGGGCUCAACCCCGGGUCUGCAGUGGGUACGGGCAGACUAGAGUGCAGUAGGGGAGACUGGAAUUCCUGGUGUAGCGGUGAAAUGCGCAGAUAUCAGGAGGAACACCGAUGGCGAAGGCAGGUCUCUGGGCUGUAACUGACGCUGAGGAGCGAAAGCAUGGGGAGCGAACAGGAUUAGAUACCCUGGUAGUCCAUGCCGUAAACGUUGGGCACUAG